rnacentral:misc_RNA from 1 species
ACGCAUAUGCCGAAUCCACCACAUGAAAUGACUUGUUGUCUGUUUCUGUAGGCUAAAUAUCAUGGUAAAUUAAUCUGAGUGAGUGGGCGUUUUAUUAGACAACACGGAAUGCUGAUACGGUUACACCGAAAAUUCUGCAGAUUAUUGAGAGUCUCUAAAAAUGGGAAAGAGUGUGUAUGAUGGCAUUAUUUUCUUCCUGUUUCAACAGGCUCGGAGGACUUCUAAACGACCACAGACAAUGCCAGGAUUGAAUUCAAGAAAAUAUGAUCCAUUUUACAUAAAUCCAAAAUAUUUCUGGGAGCAGCUGCAGUUGGUUAUUGGUACAGAGGAGGAUGUACACAUUCGGAGGGAAGUUAUUACACUUUACAUGUAUGCUUUAUGUGGAUCAAAUUCUUGUGAUUACAUGUCCGGAAGUAAAGGUGAAGGAUUUUUGUUUUAUUGGAGUGACGUUGAUGUCAUGUUAUCAACACCCUCACCACAAAUCAGCAUGGAUUCGUUCCAUCCUGGUUGUGCGUUCAUAGCAACGAGAAAUGGUUGUCAACCAGGAUUUUGUAAACUAAUUCAAUGUCACGCCAAGUGUGAUUACUAUUCUAGAACAGGGUUUUUACAAUUAAGACAGCAGAUGAAUUUUAAUGUAAACUUUGACCUCACAAAUCGAGGACCCAGUUUUUCAACGAAUUAUCCAGAUGGAUUUGACCGUUGCCAUGCGUUACCUAUACACCCAGAUUCGUCUAAUGUAUUCUUAAAAACCUUUCAAACAAAAUUUUGGAAUGAUGUUAAAUCAGAAAUAAUCAAAGACAACAUAACGGUUAUGCAUUGCGUUCCUAAAGGUCCAGAAAAGGGAGAUGAAGAUGGACAUCAAUGGUUGAUCUCAUUUUCUGUUAUUGAGCAAAAAAUUGUCCAUUCAUUGAACCAUGUCCAGUUUUGUUGUUACGGAUUGAUGAAAAUCUUUAUACAUAUAGUUAUUGAUAUUCAUCCUGACACUCACGACACGAUUACUUCGUACCAUUUAAAAACGGUUCUGUUCCAUGUCAUUGAAGACAUCCAUCCUGAUUUUUGGAUUCUACAGAAUAUAUUUUAUUGUCUAC